AUUGAACGCUGGCGGCAGGCCUAACACAUGCAAGUCGAGCGGAAGGGGCUUCGGCCCCGAGAGCGGCGGACGGGUGAGGAGAGCGUGGGAAUCUGCCUGUAGAUGGGGGAUAGCCCGGAGAAAUCCGGAUUAAUACCGCAUAAUACCUGAGGGUUAAAGUGGAGGAUCGCAAGACUUCACGUCUACAGAUGAGCCCCCGUCAGAUUAGCUAGUUGGUAGGGUAAAGGCCUACCAAGGCGACGAUCUGUAGCUGGCCUGAGAGGGUGGCCAGCCAAACUGGAACUGAGACACGGUCCAGACUCCUACGGGAGGCAGCAGUGGGGAAUAUUGGACAAUGGGCGCAAGCCUGAUCCAGCCAUGCCGCGUGUGUGGAGAAGGCCUUCGGGUUGUAAAGCACCUUAAGUUGGGAGGAAGGUUCCAAAGUUAAUACCUUUGGGAAUUGACGUUACCAACAGAAUAAGCACCGGCUAAUUCCGUGCCAGCAGCCGCCGUAAAAC
rnacentral:rRNA from 1 species